rnacentral:lncRNA from 1 species
CUAGUCCAUGUCAACACACAGAUAAAUAGACAGACAGAGGCCAUUCCUUUUAAAUGGUAAGUGGAUAAGUAUGUAUGUAGUGUCAUAUAUAUCAACCAGACAACCUCUUAUUUCUAUUCAUUUCAUAUUCAUAUUUACUGCAAAUUUUACAGAGCCAACCUUAUGUCUGUCUCCUCUGAUGCACUUCUGCUCUACAGCUAAUUAUGUAUUGACACUGCACAAAUGGUGGCAGGGACAAAGUUAGCCUUAGCUAGAUACUAAUUGGUUAGCAAGUUGUAGCAAGUAUGGGGCAAUGAGAUCAUCAUCUUUUUUUUUUUCUCUUUUUUGCCAGUUCCAUAACCAAUCAAUCCUUUCUUUCUUUUGCAUUCAAUUCUUUGCCUUUUUUGGGCUACUGUUUUUAGUUGGAUAUUGAACAGCUAUGGUCUUGUUCCUACUAGAGAUAGGUUGUGUCACUGGCCUUUUAAGCCUCCCAAUGGCCACUGUCAUUUUCCCGUUUUCAUUCUAUUCGAUGUCCGAUAUUUAUAUUAAAAGAUGAUUAAAUUCAACGUUUGCCUUUCUAACAAAGCGAUUAUAUACACUCAAAUUCGAAGCUUUUGGCUAACUAGAAAGAACUCCACCAUGUUGGUGCAAUUCCUAAUUACUCACUUGACGCAUCCAUCUACUUCUUCUGGGAAUUUGAGAAAUUUACCUUUCGGAUUAUUUUAUUUUGUAAUUUAUUAAAAAAAAUUAUCUAGCAUCUUUUGUUGCAGUUGAGAUUUAAAUAUAAAAUCUAGAGAAUUUUAUCCCACUUUAUUGAUUGCUAAUUCACAUUCUUGAAUGUAAAUUGCACUAAUAUUUUUUGUUGAUAUACGUGCAUGCUUAUGUAAGAGGUAGAAUUGGUAGGGGGUUGCUCGGUGGAGAAAUUAGAAAAAAUAAUACUACCA